GACGUAGGGCGCGAGCGUUGUCCGGAUUUAUUGGGCGUAUAGCGCGUGUAGGCGGCUCGGUAAGUCUGCUGUGAAAGUCCAGGGCUCAACCCUGGGAUGCCGGUGGAUACUGUCGAGCUCGAGUCCGGAAGAGGCGAGUGGAAUUCCUGGUGUAGCGGUGAAAUGCGCAGAUAUCAGGAGGAACACCAAUGGCGAAGGCAGCUCGCUGGGACGUGACUGACGCUGAGACGCGAAAGCGUGGGGAGCAAACAGG
rnacentral:rRNA from 1 species